CCUACGGGUGGCAGCAGUGGGGGAUAUUGCACAAUGGGGGAAACCCUGAUGCAGCGACGCCGCGUGAGUGAAGAAGUAUUUCGGUAUGUAAAGCUCUAUCAGCAGGGAAGAAAAUGACAGUACUUGACCAAGAAGCCCCGGCUAACUACGUGCCAGCAGCCGCGGGAAUACGUAGGGGGCAAGCGUUAUCCGGAUUUACUGGGUGUAAGGGGAGCGUAGACGGUUAUGCAAGUCUGGAGUGAAAGCCCCGGGCCCAACCCCGGGACUGCUUUGGAAACUGUGGAACUGGAGUACAGGAGGGGCAGGCGGAAUUCCUGGUGUAGCGGUGAAAUGCGUAGAUAUCAGGAGGAACACCGGCGGCGAAGGCGGCCUGCUGGACUGCAACUGACGUUGAGGCGCGAAAGCGUGGGGAGCAAACAGGAUUAGAUACCCUGGUAGUC
rnacentral:rRNA from 1 species